GUGCGGUGCCGGGGGAGGGAGCGGGGCGGGUGGAGGGUCCUUCUGAGGGGCUGCGCAGGGGUCUGUCCGAUGCGAGCCCCUCCGGCUGCAGAAAGCGGGAGGAAGCUGGUCCCGCGAGAGCCCCUCCUGCAGCAGAGCGCGGCUGGGUGUGAUCGUGUCUGAGGUUCUGCUGCUCCGGGACAGAAGCUCUCCCCCUGCAGAGGAGGCCGGCUGUUGCGGGUAUCGGGCCGGCGUGUGGGCAUCUGGGGCCUGUCCACCCAGACGCGUCUUUUUCCCUCCCUGGGUUCGACAGGGCCGCCUUCCGCGGAGGCGCUCGAUGCCGCAGGUGGUAGCCUAGAGUCUCCCGGGCGAGCGAGGCUUGCUUUCCCCCCAGAGGCCGCUCCUGCCUCAAGAACUUGGACACGUUUUCUUCCACGGCCCUGCCUUCUGAGGACCUCUGCUUUCUUCACCACAGCUUCUUCAGGUAUGAGGAGGAGAUGGAAGCACAUUCUCAUGCGGUCCCAUCCCUGUGCUGCCCCAUCCCCCUGACCCAACCUCCACACUGGGGAGGCAGAGCCCCAUGGUAACAUGGGUGAUAUUUCAGCCAGCUGUGAGCUUCAAGGACGUGGCUGUAACCUUCACGCAGGAGGAGUGGGGACAACGAUCUGGCCCAGAGGAGACCACACCGUGACUCUGGAGACCUGCAGCCAUCUGGUCUCUCUGGGUAAGGCAAGCUCUGCCCAUCAUAGCAGUUUUCUGCUUCAGGGACUCAAAGAUCUGGCUCUUCUUACAGAAAGAUGAUCCAGAGAUGUGGUGAGAACUUCUGCAUCCUAGGAAAUGGCAACAACCUAUUCCUUCCAGGAUUCCUACUAAAUCAGUUCCUGGACUUGUUUUCCCACCUCUCCUCAUGCCAUCGGUCCACCUGCCCUCCAUGGGUCUUGUCCUUGCUCCAGCCAGCUGAUCACAUCCGGUGUGGAAAGCAGAAGCCCUGGUCAAUGGGGAAAAAAUACAGGACUUUGUGCUCUGCUCAGAGAGUAGGAGAACCAUGUCCUCUGGCCCAACCCUCAGUCCCUGGGGUCAGAUGUGGAAGUAUUUAUUUAUUCAUCAGAGAGAGAGAAAGAGAGAGGAGUACGAGCAGGCAGAGGGCAGGCCAAGGCAGAAAGAGAAGCAGGCUCCCCGCUGAGCAAGGAGCCUGAUGUGGGACUCAAUCCCAGGACCCUGGAAUCAUGACCCGACCCAAAGGCAGUGGCCUAACCGACUGAGCUACCCAGGUGCCCCCCUUUUUUUCUUUAAUAGUGGUACCAAGAUAUAAUUCACAUGCCAUAUGAUUCAUUCAUUUGAAGUAUGCAAAGGAUUAUAGUAUAUUCACAGCAUCUGCGUCUAUCACUAUAAUCAAUUUUAGAACAUGUUCAUUACCCCCAACUAAUUGGGCUGCUUAUGAUAUUUGUUUUUGUUUUGCUUUAAUUAAUAGGUUUUAUUUAUUAGAGUUUUAUGUUUACGGAAAGUUGAGCAGAAAGUACAGAGUUCCCAUUUAUAACCCUUCCUCACCACACACAGACACACACAUACACACACAGUUUCCUCUAUUAUUAAUAUCCUGUAUUCUGUGGUACAUUUGUUACAAUGGGUGCAGCUGUAUUCACACAUUACCAGUAGAGAUCAGUUUACAUUAGGUUCACUCUUGGUGUUGGACAUUCUGCGGGUUUGGGUAAAUGUAUAAUGCCACAUCUCCAUCUUUAUCAAGCAAAGUAGUUCCACUGCCCUAAGUAUUCUCUGUGCUCCACCUGUUUUUCCCUCCCUCAACCCUAGCUCCUAGAAACCACUGGUUAUUUUACUCUUUAUUGUCGGGAGCCAGUACAGGAGGCCUACUCUAAGAGCUGUAAGGGACUGAAUAUGAUUGGCUGUUCAUUUAGGUCCACUCACACGGGAGGUGCAUGAGCACUGCGGUGAUUGGCUAGGCGGGCUAAGCUGCCGGUGUAUAUAUGCUUGAAUGUACUUGUAGAGGGGCGGGCCCGCCGGGAGCCAGGCCGAGCUGCACCGGCCGGAGGGGGCUGCAGCCGCGGUGGUGGCGGCGGCUGCGG